GCGCGGAUGGCGAAACUGGCAAACGCGGCCGGUUCAAACCCGGCUUUCCCUAAGGGUUCGAGUCCCUUUCCGCGCACCA
rnacentral:tRNA from 1 species